UAUUGUUAUUUUGGCAGAUUAGUGCAUUAAAUUUAGAAUUUAAUUAUGUAAUUAUUUACAGAUAAUAC
rnacentral:tRNA from 2 species